rnacentral:rRNA from 1 species
UACGUAGGGUGCGAGCGUUAAUCGGAAUACUGGGCGUAAAGCGUGCGCAGGCGGUGAUGUAAGACAGUUGUGAAAUCCCCGGGCUCAACCUGGGAACUGCAUCUGUGACUGCAUCGCUGGAGUGCGGCAGAGGGGGAUGGAAUUCCGCGUGUAGCAGUGAAAUGCGUAGAUAUGCGGAGGAACACCGAUGGCGAAGGCAAUCCCCUGGCCUGCACUGACGCUCAUGCACGAA